rnacentral:rRNA from 1 species
AGAGACAGCAGUAGCCGCGGUAAUACGGAGGGUGCAAGCGUUAAUCGGAAUUACUGGGCGUAAAGCGUGCGUAGGCGGUUCGUUAAGUCUGUUGUGAAAGCCCCGGGCUCAACCUGGGAAUGGCAAUGGAUACUGGCGAGCUAGAGUGUGUCAGAGGAUGGUGGAAUUCCCGGUGUAGCGGUGAAAUGCGUAGAGAUCGGGAGGAACAUCAGUGGCGAAGGCGGCCAUCUGGGACAACACUGACGCUGAGGCACGAAAGCGUGGGGAGCAAACAGGAUUAGAUACCCCUGUAGUCCCUGUCUCUUAUAC